GAGCUCUGUGUGGUUGAGGAAUAACAGGGCAGUCCUCCUUUGGCGGACUGAAAUCAUGCUAAUUGGAGAAAUCAUGCAUGCAAUACCCUUCUGCUUUGCCAAAGGAGAAUUGCCCUGCCAUUUCCCUCCCACCAAAAUCCUC
rnacentral:pre_miRNA from 1 species